CAAUAGCGUAUACUAAUGUUGUUGCAGUUAAAAAGCUCGUAGUUGAACUUCUGGUAGGAGUGUCCCGGCCUUUUUGUUUUUACAAAUUGUAUGCUGUGUGACAUCUCUGGCCAUCCUUCUUCUUUGUUUAAAGAAGAUCUUUCACUGUAAAAAAAUUAGGGUGUUCAAAGCAAAAGUUUCUUUGGAAUAUAUUAGUAUGGGAUGAUAAGAUAGGCUCUAGAUGCUAUUUUGUUGGUUUGCACAUUUAGAGAAUGAUUAACAGGGACAGUGGGGGGUAUUCGUAUUUACAUGUCAGAGGUGAAAUUCUUGGAUUUUGGAAAGACGAACUACUGCGAAAGCAUUUACCAAGGAUGUUUUCAUUAA
rnacentral:rRNA from 1 species